rnacentral:rRNA from 1 species
GGNGGCAGCAGUGGGGAAUAUUGCACAAUGGGCGAAAGCCUGAUGCAGCGACGCCGCGUGAGGGAUNNCNNNNNUCGGGUUGUAAACCUCUUUCAGCAGGGAAGAAGCGAAAGUGACNGUACCUGCAGAAGAAGCGCCGGCUAACUACGUGCCAGCAGCCGCGGUAAUACGUAGGGCGCAAGCGUUGUCCGGAAUUAUUGGGCGUAAAGAGCUCGUAGGCGGCUUGUCGCGUCGGAUGUGAAAGCCCGGGGCUUAACCCCGGGUCUGCAUUCGAUACGGGCAGGCUAGAGUUCGGUAGGGGAGAUCGGAAUUCCUGGUGUAGCGGUGAAAUGCNCAGAUAUCAGGAGGAACNCCGGUGGCGAAGGCGGNUCUCUGGGCCGA